rnacentral:rRNA from 1 species
GACGAACGCUGGCGGCGUGCUUAACACAUGCAAGUCGAACGAUGAAGCCGGAGCUUGCUCUGGUGAAUUAGUGGCGAACGGGUGAGUAACACGUGAGUAACCUGCCCUUGACUCUGGGAUAACUGCGGGAAACUGUAGCUAAUACCGGAUACGACCCUCGGAGGCAUCUCCUGGGGGUGGAAAGAAUUUCGGUCAAGGAUGGACUCGCGGCCUAUCAGCUAGUUGGUGAGGUAAAGGCUCACCAAGGCGACGACGGGUAGCCGGCCUGAGAGGGUGACCGGCCACACUGGGACUGGGACACGGCCCAGACUCCUACGGGAGGCAGCAGUGGGGGAUAUUGCACAAUGGGCGCAAGCCUGAUGCAGCAACGCCGCGUGAGGGAUGACGGCCUUCGGGUUGUAAACCUCUUUUAGUAGGGAAGAAGCGAAAGUGACGGUACCUGCAGAAAAAGCACCGGCUAACUACGUGCCAGCCGCCGCCGUAA